rnacentral:rRNA from 1 species
UACAGAGGUCUCAAGCGUUGUUCGGAUUCAUUGGGCGUAAAGGGUGCGUAGGUGGCGCCGUAAGUCAGGUGUGAAAUCUCGGGGCUCAACCCCGAAACUGCACUUGAUACUGCGGUGCUCGAGUACUGGAGAGGAGAUUGGAAUUUACGGUGUAGCAGUGAAAUGCGUAGAUAUCGUAAGGAAGACCAGUGGCGAAGGCGAAUCUCUGGACAGUUACUGACACUGAGGCACGAAGGCCCAGGGGGAGCAAACGGG